rnacentral:rRNA from 1 species
GACGAACGCUGGCGGCGUGCCUAACACAUGCAAGUCGAGCGAAUGAAGUUCCUUCGGGAAUGGAUUUAGCGGCGGACGGGUGAGUAACACGUGGGCAACCUGCCUCAUAGAGGGGAAUAGCCUCCCGAAAGGGAGAUUAAUACCGCAUAAGAUUGUAGUACCGCAUGAUCCAGCAAUUAAAGGAGCAAUCCGCUAUGAGAUGGGCCCGCGGCGCAUUAGCUAGUUGGUGAGGUAAUGGCUCACCAAGGCGACGAUGCGUAGCCGACCUGAGAGGGUGAUCGGCCACAUUGGGACUGAGACACGGCCCAGACUCCUACGGGAGGCAGCAGUGGGGAAUAUUGCACAAUGGGGGAAACCCUGAUGCAGCAACGCCGCGUGAGUGAUGACGGCCUUCGGGUUGUAAAGCUCUGUCUUCAGGGACAAUAAUGACGGUACCUGAGGAGGAAGCCACGGCUAACUACGUG